CCUACGGGGGGCACCAGUAGGGAAUCUUCGGCAAUGGACGAAAGUCUGACCGAGCAACGCCGCGUGAGUGAAGAAGGUUUUCGGAUCGUAAAACUCUGUUGGUAGAGAAGAACGUUGGUGAGAGUGGAAAGCUCAUCAAGUGACGGUAACUACCCAGAAAGGGACGGCUAACUACGUGCCAGCAGCCGCGGUAAUACGUAGGUCCCGAGCGUUGUCCGGAUUUAUUGGGCGUAAAGCGAGCGCAGGUGGUUUAUUAAGUCUGGUGUAAAAGGCAGUGGCUCAACCAUUGUAUGCAUUGGAAACUGGUAGACUUGAGUGCAGGAGAGGAGAGUGGAAUUCCAUGUGUAGCGGUGAAAUGCAUAGAUAUAUGGAGGAACACCGGUGGCGAAAGCGGCUCUCUGGCCUGUAACUGGCACUGAGGCCCGAAAGCGUGGGGAGCAAACAGGAUUAGAUACCCCUGUAGUC
rnacentral:rRNA from 1 species